ACAUGGGAAAGCAGGAGGCCACUGAAUCACUGCCUUAGAACCUGCCCUGUCUUGCUUCAGUGCCGUCCCUGACACAGGAUUUGCUUCCAGCCGGCAGCUAGCAUUGCCACUUCAGAGAAAGGCCCUUGUUUUUUAUUUAUUUAUUUUCAGGAUCGCGAGGCUCUAUCCCAACAGCAAAAUUUGCUUAAAGCCAAUUACCUGGGAACCCAUGCCAACACUGACAGAUCUUUCAUUCCCCUAGAUAUACAUUUUUUUUUCUAGCGAGAACCUUUGCGUAGUCUUUCGGAGAGAGUGUGAGCACAUGCAGAAUUACACUGGUUUGGAGCACGGUGUGUUGGUCACUAUCCAAUGAAGGCAAAACCUCCAGAACUUCAGGAAGGGGUUGUGAAAAAAACUCACCACCCUAGAGCUUUGCCUGUCUCAGACAGCAAGAAUCCUCACAAACAACCUGGAGAGUAGAGGCCACAGAGGACAGACACAGUUACGAGAGAAAGCAGCGGAGAGGUUUCUGUUCUGGCAGAAUCUAGUCAACUAAAUCCCUGAAGCUUGUUUCUCCUCAGCUGAUAAGCAUGAUGGAAGGCACAGAGCCAGAUGUUCAGGGGAGGAGAGGCACCGUGGCCAUGACCACACCAUCUUUCCCGCCAGAAGGUGACAGUCCUCAGUUACCAAGAACAUAAGACAUUCCUGGCACGUCUACACACCCAAAAGCCCAGAGAUGCCUAAGGAGCUCAUGUCAUUCAUUCAGGUGACUCAAUUCAUGUGUCAAAGACCGUCUUCCACCUGGAAGAAAGUUGCGAAAGGACAUGAACAACAAGCUGGUAUUUUCACCCAUCACAAUCUCAUGGGCACUAAGACAGGGCUCGUGGGCUCUCCCUCAAAACUCCCAGAGUUACUUUGGGCACUUCAUUUCAGUCUUUCAAAGCAGAAUUCCCAUUGAUAUGAAUCAUGGUUUAAGAUGUCCGAAGAUGCUUCUGCUAGAUUCUUCUGUGCUUUUCUCAUUUUCCAAAAAUAAUUGCUCCACUUGCCAAAGAGUAGGAUCUGGCCAGAUCCUGUGAAAUGAACCUCAGUUAAAAACCCGUGAUUCUACAGCAAUGAAGAUGGACGGGAACACACCGAAAGCACUCUAUAUUUCUUUUCACCUUCAUUUUCUUCAAACUGAUCCAAGAUGAGCACAUGCGUGUGAAGCCUGAAAGUCUGGAUGUGGCCAUCAUAUUAGAACGAUAAAAGAAAAACUAGCACUGCCCCUAUUCGCAGUACACACUCUGGGUACACGGUCAGGCCCUACAUGUACUUAUGGCUUCCUGGUCUGUAACCCUUAGUCUACUGGGUAAGCAUUCUCCCAAAAGUAGUGUGCUCACUGUCCAGAUAAGUGGGCUGUGCGCGCUUUCUGGUGACUGCACAUCCUCAUGGGAUGUGCUCGUCUCCCAAAUGACUCCUCCACAUCUGCGGAUACACCUACAUAGGCAGUUGCCUGCAACCCACUGCUCAGGAAGGGCUGACAAAGCAAGCCGCAGGAGCUUGGCAUCUGCGCAAGGCAGCUGCCUCUUAUGACUGACUGGGCUCUCUCCUGAGGAUAAAGAGCUGGAUGCUGGGUUAAGCCAAUUCAUUUUUCUCCCUGUAAGUCAGUGGAAACUUCUUUCCACGGAUUCAUUUCCAAAUGAAGGAAUGUUAUCACCAGAUGUCACUCCUUCAGGAUAAACAUAUUCUUCAUAAUAGGGAAAAGUGGACCUCACGGAGCCGAUCUUGGUUCUGUAGAAUAGGUUUUAUUUUUUUAUGUCUAACAUGAGUUGCACUGCGGGUUUUUGGUAGAUAUACUUCCUGUCUCACACAUGGUUUUGCCAUCAUUUUUAAUAGAACUGAUAUUUUAUAAAGCCAUCUGCUUCAUGUCCAUUGGCACUUCUGCACCUCCAAGGCCUCGACAACUCCCAGAGCUACCACAGCCUUCAAGACAAGAUGGGGGAGACAAAGGACCAAUCUUAACCCCAUCCCCGUUCCCACCCACAGGAUGGACAAGUACAGCACCACCUUAGGGAAGAUGUACAGAGAAUUGCACUCAUUUCUCCUACUCCCUAAACCAAGAAGACAGCACUAGCUUCCAGCUCAGAGUUUCUAUUAAAGUUUAAACUGAGGGACUAGAGAGAUGGCUGAGUGGUUAAGAGCAAGGACUACGCUUCCAGAGGUCCUGAGUUCAAUUCCCAUCAACCACACGGUGGAUGACAACUAUCUAUAAUGGGAUUCAAUGCCUUCUUUUGGUCUGUGUCUGAGACAGCUACAGUGUACUUAUAUAGAUAAAAUUAAUUAAUUAUUUUUAAAAAAUCAAAAUUGGGAAAAACACAGCAUUUAAAAGUUACUUGGUCUUAUUAUUGUUGUUGUUAUUGUUUAUAGGCCACAGAUAUACUUAGAAAUGACUAUUUCUAAAUAAGAACUUUUACAUCACAGAAGUCCAGGAAAAGUUCAACAGAUGUACAACACAGGAAGGAGAAAAUUUUCCCCUUUGGUUCCCAUGAAUGAGGACUCAAACUUGCAAAAGAGAAACUGACCUAAGAUUUGAACUUACUUGUGGUCUUCUAUGUGAAUAAUGGUGUUUUGCCGUCAAGGCAGGAUAUUGCUCAGGCUAAUAACUCAGAAUGCAGUGGAAUUAAGUAGACCAAUACAACUCCAGUAGAAAACAAUCUUCAUUUUUGAAAAGCAUACAGACCAAUACAAAGACUUUAGAAUUUCAAACAUAGGAAAAAGAAUUAAACAAAAGACAGUGCAAAAAAAAAAAAAAUCCAAGAACGCUCAUCCUGGGAAAAGCAUAUUGAAAUGCCUAAUGCCAGCUUUCGAGAGCGUAUUUAUAGAUAUCACUGGACCAUUUAGCUCAUCUGUGUUUUAGCUACUGGUUGAGGGCCAAGACACAGAAAAAUUAGCUAAAUGAAUGUUAGAAUAUCCUUUUAGUUUAGACCCUUCUUUGCUUUUAGGGUCUGUAGGUCAAACUUAUAGUCUCAAGUAUUUUCCUACUGACACCUCAGCACCAAGGCUGCAGUCUUUUAUUUAAAAUAGAAAGGUACAGUUGGAACAUUGCACGGGUUAGGACAGGAUGCACAGAAUUAACCAAUCAAGUGAACUCUUUAGAGAUGAAUUCCCAGACAUUGGAACUUAAUGCUUUUAUCUGGUUAUUCUUUUGAAAUCACAGACACGAGGCGUUCUCCAGAUCCAUAAUCUCAAACCCUAUCUCCAAACAAGCUAGAUUUUAGCAAUGAAAUCAAAACCAUACUUAUCAUCUGCAAAGGGCUAGAGAUACUUUGCUGGUGUCUCCUCUUGGCGUGGCUGACGCAACAACAACAACAACACAGUUGUAAUUAGACCAGCACAGUAAUGACGUCUGUUGCCUCCAUGCUUGGCAACAUUUGAUAUUGCAAGCUUGUUUUGACCCUUGAAAAAAGGUAUAUAAACUUGAUUCCUUCCAUGCUUGAGUUUUGUAUGAUGACAAAAACAGUUUUUCUCCCAAACUCACUUAAACAAUAACAGGGAUGGUGGUAGGAAAUGUAAAACAUAUCAUGUGUGUGGGUGGGCACAACUUAAGGGCAUUAGGCUCUCAGUUUAGAUUUGAUUUGCCAGUACCCUGCAGCAUGAAAUAAUAAGAAGUUGGAGCCUGAGUGUGGCCUCCUUCAACUGCAGGGCUCUGUAUGAGAUUGGGGUCACAGUGACACAAAUCCCAGGGCCAUAUCAAGUUCACAGGGAGCCUCCUGAGUGCUUUCCUAAGCACUGUAGACCUCAGCAUUGAUUGAAUUGCCAGCCCAGAUAAAAAAGAAAGAGAUCUGGGAAAUGAAGUUUCAUCCCCCAAUAUUGAGCAGGGUUGCAUGAGACACCUGGUAACGUUCUCUGAAAAUGAUUAAGGGCUGCCCACUUAGGAGACAGGACAUCAGUUUUGUUGGUUGGAACAAGCUGCUUGCUUUUUAAUGAUUUAUUUUUAUUUUAUGUGCCUGGGUGUUUUGCCUGCAUAUGUGUCUGUCUGAGGGUAUCAUAUCCCCUGGACCUGGAGUUACAGGCAGGUAUGAGCUGCUGUGUGGAUGCAGGGAAUUGAAACCAGGUCUUCUGGAAGAGCAGCCAUGUUCUUAACCACUGAGCCACCUCUCCAGCCUCCAGAACUUCCUUCAGGAAAUAGAGUGGGGUAGGGAUUAGUCAUGAAGCUUAAGGAUUUCAGGGAAGUACGGACUUAAUAAGGUGUCUUCUCCAAAAUCUAACAGACACACACUCAGAUGACACAAGCGCGCGCGCGCGCGCACACACACACACACACACACACACACACACACACCAAACGCCCUCUGCAGAGCAGGCACCUUCAUAGCUGCUUAGCUGCUGCUUGCCCCCACUCUGGGGCAGACUUAAGAACAAAGUGGGAGAUUUUGUUACCCAAAUGAUGGAAAUUUUGAUCUCCUUGGCUCUGUUCUGUAGCAGGUGACAAGAAAGAAGUGCACAUACCAAAGGAGGCUGGAGGGGACACAGAUAACCAUCUGCCUCCUCUAGCUAUUCCUUUCCCUCACCUUUUGUGUCUGCUACCAGUCCCUCAGCCCACACACCUCUCUCUCUGCAUGAGGAACUACUAUCAUCAGGCCCUUUCAGGAUAGUCACUGUUAUUUUUCCCAUUACCCAGAUCUUAAUAGCCUGUUACAGUGCAAGUGUCUGCUUAUCUGGCUCUUCCUCCUGACUUUGUGAUGCUUUUAGAGCAGACUCUUUGCUUUAUCAGGACUAAAGUAUGACUGACUAGUGAUAUGGGUCCACACACCAUUUAGGAACAGAAUUUAGCUGUUGCUGAGGUCAGAUAUUCAAAUAGUAAACAGUGACCCACACAGGGAAGAAGCAUAUAUACUUUUAAAACUCACAUUUCAAUAAAAAGCUUAUAAACCCAAGCCUGCUCUGUGUUUUAUAAAAUUCCAAACUAGGGUCUUUAAAAAUUGAAAUGCAUUGUUAAGUUUUUCAAAGUUAAAAAACAAACAAACAAAAAUCCCAAAACAAAAAUUCUUUCUCCUGCAUGUGUGAGUAUUUCACAAUUCACUGCUCUCAUUCUGCAAGCCAGCAGGAUUGUUGUCUACAAAAGAUAGAUAAAUAAAACAUUAAAAAGGUGGGGUUUUUUUGUUUGUUGUCUUUUUUUUUCUUUUGUUUUUUAAAGAUAUACUUAGGGUCUGGCUCAGCAAUUAAGAGUAUGCAUGGCUCUUGCAGAGGGCUCAAGUUCCAGUCUUGUAGCCCUGUCCAAUGGCUCACAAUCGGUAAAUCCAGCUCAAGAUGAUCCAGUGUCCUCUUCUGGCCUCUCUAUCAGUGCAUAUACUGUCCACUCACAGACACAUACAAAGAAUUAAAAAUAAAAUAAGUCCUUAUAAAGCUACAUUUUAAAAGUUUUAUUGCUUGCAAAAGACUCUUUCCACGUGUGAGGCUUGCCAUAGCUUGCAUCCUGGGCCCCUGGUCAAGUUCUGGCCUUUAACUGAGGUUUAUUGUGGGGAUUUUAAGAAACUAGAUGAUCUUUCAAGUUCCGGGGUUGAUGCUUUCACUUAACUGUGUGAUUUCUGACAUCUAAAGUGCUUUUCUGUAAUUUUACCUUUAUUUAGCACUUAGAUCAGAAUCUUAAGUAAAACAGAACAUUCUAGAAAAGCUGUAUAUUAAAUACCAAAGAAAGCCUGCUUCUGUGGGCUGAAGGGACAGUUGCCUAGAAGUAUUUCUUGGUUUUGUAACCUGAAUUGGUGGCAAACUCCUAAGUUGGCCUACACCUCACUGUGCCGGCAGUUUUGUGUCUUAAAAGUAUCUAAAAUUUCUUUUAACAACAGAGUAAAGGCAUGAGCAUCAGAGCUGAGAGUGUCUGAAAAGGCCCUGAGACAGUUAAUAGUCAGCAUCAGCAGAGAUGUAGCUGGGCUCACAGAGAAAGCCUAAUGGAGGCAAGGCUCCGAGCAGUGGUAGGAAACAGGAAGCCUGGAAGCCCAGAGAUAUCAGAAAGCACCUUGAUGCCACCUUGCUGCUAAGGAACACUGGAUCCAAUACACAGGAGAAAGGUGAGGUGUGUGUUUAGCUUUUAUAGAUCAUGGUUUAAACACAAUACACAAAAGGAUGCUUGUGAGACAGUAGUGUCUAUGUGAACCAGACUAGUUGAAGAUGAUGCAGUUAAAGUGUGGACAUUUUUAAAGUGUGAUAAUUGUGAUUAUAGGAGAAAAAAAUCAAUGUUGAGAGAUACAUGGCAUGAAGCAUGUAGGAUAAAAUGGCGUAAUUUCUUCCAUCUGGUUAGCUUUGAAGAACUUCAGAAAUGCAAGCACACAUUGCAGAAAGAAAAAAAUAUGGUGAUUUCAAGUCUAGAUGCCUAUGACAGCAUCUGUGAAUAAUUGAAAAUGAGAGCAAAAUUUAUGAAAAGUUUUUGUUUUAAAUAUCAGUCCCUUCCCUUUUAGGUGCGACCUGUACAUCCUGCUUAAGUGUGCACAGGAGGUUUGUACAAACAGGGCCACUUAAAGGGCUGGUGCACUAGCUAAAAAAUUCCAGAACAAUCUAGGUCCCUGUUACAGACAGCUGUGUGGAAGUUGGGGCAGCCACUAGAUAAAGGAAGCUGAUUUAUAUAUACUGCAAUUGGGAAAAGUCUCAGCUAAAGCGAAAUUGUAUGAAAAAUAAGUGUCUAACAAUGUGCAUCACAUAAACUCAAAUCUGUAUGAAAUAUAUUUAAACUGAUUCUAUUUUUAGUUUAAAUAUAUUUCUAUGUAACGUCCACAGAUCAAAAACCUGGUAUCUUCCCCAGUCCUGACAGUGAGUGUAGAAAGGGAAGGGUCUGAGAAAUUAUCCUUGGCUUUCUACAGUGUCUCUUUUUGAGGGGGGGGGGAGCAAUUGUUGAACUUUACAAACGAAGAGAGGAUAUUUUUGUAUCCUGUAAUUAAAAUACAGCCAAAUAAAUAAAUAAAUAGAGACAGAAAUUCUGGCAGAGUGAGGGAACAAAAACAGAGGGACCCGGAAGGCAAGUCUGUCAACUUCCAGAGAGGGAUGGCUUCAGAGAGAGGGAGGAAGGGAGAGAGAGAGAGAGAGAGAGAGAGAGAGAGAGAGAGAGAGAGAGGAGAGAGAGAGAGAAGAGAGAGAGAGAGGAGAGAGAGAGACAAGAGAGAGAGAGACAAGAGAGAGACAAGAGAGAGAGAGAGAGAGAAACAUUUUAGUUUCAUCAUAAAGGCCUUUCAUUAAAAAGACAAAUGUCAGCAAUGGGCUGAUAACAUGAGUAAACUCCAUUAGCAGAACAGAGGAGGCUGCCCCCAGUAAUCACAGGCAAAGUCAAGAUGACUGCAAAGGUCGCAUGGUCACUGGAACACCCCUGUAAUUUGUAUUGUAAUGAACUAUUACCUCAGCACAAUCAUGUGCCAGGCAUUUAAUUUACAAGCACAGAUGCCUGGCGGUUGACUUUAAAAUUACUCUGGAAUUACCCCCAUGGAUUCUGAACAACUACCAGUGUGGCCAGGGCUUCAUAAUCUAUAAGGUAGCUGUGCAUUGCAGGCGUGGGGCCUGCACACUGGUGGAUCUCUACUGAUUAUGCUGUGUGCAACUCUGUUCUAAAGCUUCCAGUGGCAUCCUCCUAAAACCUGCCACCCAUCUUGCCUUUAACGGACUGCAGACUCUUCCUGGGGUCUUCUGGACAAAGGGGCCCUCCCCAAGUCUACCCUACCUUCGAUCAGCCAUAGCUGCAGUAGAACACAGACUGGAAAAUAAAAUGAUUUCCUUUGCUUCUAUUUCCCUGGGAGCUCUACCAUCUGUUUCCACUAAGGAAAGAAGCACAAAAGAAGGGAGGAUACUACUUUCUGGGCUGGAGAUGCUUCCCUGAGCUGUGACUCAGGUCUGCCCAGGGCAAGAAUAUGCCAGGGAGGCUGGCCUUAACUGGGUGCGUGCUUGUUCAUCCAGAUAAACCAAGUUGGGAGGGUUCCAACCUGUCACAGCACCACAAAUGGCAUGUUAGAAAGACUGAGCUCUCUUUUCCAUCAAGGUUGGAGCUUAUUUUUGCUUCUAGGAAUCACAAAUCCUUGGUGCCGAUAAAACAUUUUACCACACGUUGUAAAUGUUUUGCAUGUGGGCCAAGCUUUGGUGAGAGAAGGCUCCUGUUUUUUCUUCUGCACAGUAUCUAUGGCCAGAAUGCACUUUUCUGAGAACCGUCUCUAACCAUAUAACCCC